GCCUCGGUGGUCGAGUUGGUUAAGACGCUCGGCCCGUUAAGCCGUGAGAUCCUAGGUUCAAAUCCUGGCCGAGGCA